GACAGAGGGUGCAAACGUUGUUCGGAUUUACUGGGCGUAAAGAGCGUGUAGGCGGCCCGGUAAGUCCGCUGUGAAAGUCCAGGCUCAACCCUGGGAUGCCGGUGGAUACUGUCGGGCUCGAGUCCGGAAGAGGAGUGUGGAAUUCCUGGUGUAGCGGUGAAAUGCGCAGAUAUCAGGAGGAACACCAAUGGCGAAGGCAGCACUCUGGGACGUGA
rnacentral:rRNA from 1 species